AAUCAAACAAAAACCAACAUCCAAAACGUGACUCACGGCCACGAUAGGGGAGUUCCCAGAAAUUUCACUCGCAGCAACAUUUUUCUUCCAAGGUCUGUGGAAAAAAAGAACAUGAAGCCCUUCGAUGCUGGCAUCAAUUUGACGAAGCUUACCAAGAUGAUGAAGUUCCACAAGCAUUGGCAGCAAUGACAACAUCCAAUGGGGCUGAUGAAGAGUGGAUGGUUGAUUUGGGGGUCUCGGCACAUAUGACUACACAAUCAGGUAUAUUACAAAACUUACGCCCCUAUCAUGGUUGUGAUCAUGUCAUGGUCGACAAUGCUACAAUGUUGCUGAUCACUCGUAUUGGUGAAACCUAUGUUUGGUAAUCCUCCAAACUCUAUUAAAUUUGAUAAUGGUUUACUAGUCCUUGAUCUCGAAAAAAAUUUACUUUCCAUUGGGCAAUUAACUACUGAUUAUCCUAUUAAUUGUGAGUAUUUUGGUGUUGGAUUCACAAUAAAGCAUAGGAAUACCAACAUAACACUGCUGACAGGCCACAAGCAAGGUAAUUUGUAUAGCCUAGCCACCUCCCCGGAAGCUCAUUUUUUAGUGCGCUUUUAAGCUGUAGACAAGCAUCUUUGGCAUCAACUACUUGGGCAUCCUCAAGCUGCAACCAUCCAAUCUCUCCAAUCUCUUGGUUUAAUAAAAAUAAUUGGCCCAAAUAAGCCAUUUUCUAUAUGUGAUAGUUGUCAACUUUACAAAACAAGUUGUUUACCUUUUAUUUCUUUCUCCUCCAAAAAGUUUGGACUUUUCAAAAAAAUUCAUUGUGAUCUUUGGGGUCCUUCCCCCAUUAACUCUAUUGAUAAAUUUUC